rnacentral:rRNA from 1 species
GACGAACGCUGGCGGCGUGCCUAAUACAUGCAAGUCGAGCGAAGUUUUUCUGGUGCUUGCACCGGACAGACUUAGCGGCGAACGGGUGAGUAACACGUAAAGAACCUGCCUCAUAGACUGGGACAACUAUUGGAAACGAUAGCUAAUACCGGAUAACAGCAUUAACUGCAUGGUUGAUGUUUAAAAGUUGGUUUUGCUAACACUAUGAGAUGGCUUUACGGUGCAUUAGCUAGUUGGUGGGGUAAAGGCCUACCAAGGCGACGAUGCAUAGCCGACCUGAGAGGGUGAUCGGCCACACUGGGACUGAGACACGGCCCAGACUCCUACGGGAGGCAGCAGUAGGGAAUCUUCCGCAAUGGGCGAAAGCCUGACGGAGCAACACCGCGUGAGUGAAGAAGGAUUUCGGUUCGUAAAGCUCUGUUGUUAGGGAAGAAUGAUUGUGUAGUAACUAUACGCAGUAGAGACGGUACCUAACGAGAAAGCCACGGCUAACUACGUG